rnacentral:rRNA from 1 species
ACCUUCGGGUCUAGUGGCGCACGGGUGCGUAACGCGUGGGAAUCUGACCCCUGGGUUCGGAAUAACAGUUAGAAAUGACUGCGUAAUACCGGAUGAUGACGUAAGUCCAUAAGAUUUAUCGCCCAGGGAUGAGCCCGCGUAGGAUUCGAGCUAGUUGGUGAGGUAAAGGCUCACCAAGGCGACGAUCCUUAGCUGGUCUGAGAGGAUGAUCAGCCACACUGGGACUGAGACACGGCCCAGACUCCUACGGGAGGCAGCAGUGGGGAAUAUUGGACAAUGGGCGAAAGCCUGAUCCAGCAAUGCCGCGUGAGUGAAGAAGGCCUUAGGGUUGUAAAGCUCUUUUACCCGGGAAGAUAAUGACUGUACCGGGAGAAUAAGCCCCGGCUAACUCCGAUGCCAGCAAGCCGCGAGUAAUACGGAGGGGGCUAGCGUUGUUCGGAAUUACUGGGCGUAAAGCGUACGUAGGCGGUUUUUCAAGUCAGAGGUGAAAGCCCGGGGCUCAACUCCGGAAUUGCCCUUUGAAACUGGGAGAGCUUGAACACGGGAGAGGUGAGUGGAAUUCCGAGUGUAGAGGAUGAAAUUCGUAGAUAUUCGGAGGAACACCAGUGGCGAAGGCGGCUCACUGGACCGUAGUUGACGCUGAGGUACGAAAGCGUGGGGAGCAAACACAGGAUUAGAUACCCUGGUAGUCCACGCCGUAAACGAUGAUAACUAGCUUGUCGGGGCGACUUAGUGCUUCGGUGGCGCAGCUAACG